ACAGCAGCCGCGGUAAUACGGAGGAUGCAAGCGUUAUCCGGAUUCAUUGGGUUUAAAGGGUGCGUAGGCGGAAUAAUAAGUCAGUGGUGAAAUCUUGCAGCUUAACUGUAAAAUUGCCUUUGAUACUGUUAUUCUUGAGUGCAGUUGAGGUAGGCGGAAUGUGUAAUGUAGCGGUGAAAUGCUUAGAUAUUACACAGAACACCGAUUGCGUAGGCAGCUUACUAAACUGUAACUGACGCUGAGGCACGAAAGCGUGGGGAGCAAACAGGAUUAGAUACCCUGGUAGUCCACGCCGUAAACGAUGAUCACUCGCUGUUAGCGAUAAACAGUUAGCGGCUAAGUAAAAGCAUUAAGUGAUCCACCUGGGGAGUACGUCGGCAACGAUGAAACUCAAAGGAAUUGACGGGGGCCCGCACAAGU
rnacentral:rRNA from 1 species